CAAACAAUCUAUGGACUUCUAGACCAGAGAAAUGAAAGUCUAAUACCUGAUAUUGAGCUCAAAAGCAUAGAUUUUGAUAUGAGAAAAGAAUUCCCAAACUCAAACUUUCCUCUGAAUUUGAAAACCCAGAAAGUGGUUUUUGGGGAAACUCAUAUCCCAACUUCCCUUCUGUAACCCAGAAGCUGAUAAUACAGAGGCAAAAAUCACCACCACAUGUGUUC
rnacentral:misc_RNA from 1 species